rnacentral:rRNA from 2 species
UUCAUGGAGAGUUUGAUCCUGGCUCAGGACGAACGCUGGCGGCGUGCCUAAUACAUGCAAGUCGAGCGGACCGACGGGAG